rnacentral:rRNA from 1 species
GGUUAACCGAAUAGGGGAGCCGGAGGGAAACCGAGUCUUAAUUGGGCGUUAAGUUGCAGGGUAUAGACCCGAAACCCGGUGAUCUAGCCAUGGGCAGGUUGAAGGUUGGGUAACACUAACUGGAGGACCGAACCGACUAAUGUUGAAAAAUUAGCGGAUGACCUGUGGCUGGGGGUGAAAGGCCAAUCAAACCGGGAGAUAGCUGGUUCUCCCCGAAAGCUAUUUAGGUAGCGCCUCGUGAAUUCAUCUCCGGGGGUAGAGCACUGUUUCGGCUAGGGGGCCAUCCCGGCUUACCAACCCGAUGCAAACUGCGAAUACCGGAGAAUGUUAUCACGGGAGACACACGGCGGGUGCUAACGUCCGUCGUGAAGAGGGAAACAACCCAGACCGCCAGCUAAGGUCCCAAAGUCAUGGUUAAGUGGGAAACGAUGUGGGAAGGCCCAGACAGCCAGGAUGUUGGCUUAGAAGCAGCCAUCAUUUAAAGAAAGCGUAAUAGCUCACUGGUCGAGUCGGCCUGCGCGGAAGAUGUAACGGGGCUAAACCAUGCACCGAAGCUGCGGCAGCGACACUGAGGUGUUGUUGGGUAGGGGAGCGUUCUGUAAGCCUGUGAAGGUGUGUCGUGAGGCAUGCUGGAGGUAUCAGAAGUGCGAAUGCUGACAUAAGUAACGAUAAAGCGGGUGAAAAGCCCGCUCGCCGGAAGACCAAGGGUUCCUGUCCAACGUUAAUCGGGGCAGGGUGAGUCGACCCCUAAGGCGAGGCCGAAAGGCGUAGUCGAUGGGAAACGGGUUAAUAUUCCCGUACUUGGUGUUACUGCGAAGGGGGGACGGAGAAGGCUAUGUUGGCCGGGCGACGGUUGUCCCGGUUUAAGCGUGUAGGCUGGUUUUCCAGGCAAAUCCGGAAAAUCAAGGCUGAGGCGUGACGACGAGGCACUACGGUGCUGAAGCAACAAAUGCCCUGCUUCCAGGAAAAGCCUCUAAGCAUCAGGUAACAUCAAAUCGUACCCCAAACCGACACAGGUGGUCAGGUAGAGAAUACCAAGGCGCUUGAGAGAACUCGGGUGAAGGAACUAGGCAAAAUGGUGCCGUAACUUCGGGAGAAGGCACGCUGACACGUAGGUGAAGUGAUUUACUCAUGGAGCUGAAGUCAGUCGAAGAUACCAGCUGGCUGCAACUGUUUAUUAAAAACACAGCACUGUGCAAACACGAAAGUGGACGUAUACGGUGUGACGCCUGCCCGGUGCCGGAAGGUUAAUUGAUGGGGUCAGCGCAAGCGAAGCUCCUGAUCGAAGCCCCGGUAAACGGCGGCCGUAACUAUAACGGUCCUAAGGUAGCGAAAUUCCUUGUCGGGUAAGUUCCGACCUGCACGAAUGGCGUAAUGAUGGCCAGGCUGUCUCCACCCGAGACUCAGUGAAAUUGAACUCGCUGUGAAGAUGCAGUGUACCCGCGGCAAGACGGAAAGACCCCGUGAACCUUUACUAUAGCUUGACACUGAACAUUGAGCCUUGAUGUGUAGGAUAGGUGGGAGGCUUUGAAGUGUGGACGCCAGUCUGCAUGGAGCCGACCUUGAAAUACCACCCUUUAAUGUUUGAUGUUCUAACGUGGACCCGUAAUCCGGGUUGCGGACAGUGUCUGGUGGGUAGUUUGACUGGGGCGGUCUCCUCCUAAAGAGUAACGGAGGAGCACGAAGGUUGGCUAAUCCUGGUCGGACAUCAGGAGGUUAGUGCAAUGGCAUAAGCCAGCUUGACUGCGAGCGUGACGGCGCGAGCAGGUGCGAAAGCAGGUCAUAGUGAUCCGGUGGUUCUGAAUGGAAGGGCCAUCGCUCAACGGAUAAAAGGUACUCCGGGGAUAACAGGCUGAUACCGCCCAAGAGUUCAUAUCGACGGCGGUGUUUGGCACCUCGAUGUCGGCUCAUCACAUCCUGGGGCUGAAGUAGGUCCCAAGGGUAUGGCUGUUCGCCAUUUAAAGUGGUACGCGAGCUGGGUUUAGAACGUCGUGAGACAGUUCGGUCCCUAUCUGCCGUGGGCGCUGGAGAACUGAGGGGGGCUGCUCCUAGUACGAGAGGACCGGAGUGGACGCAUCACUGGUGUUCGGGUUGUCAUGCCAAUGGCACUGCCCGGUAGCUAAAUGCGGAAGAGAUAAGUGCUGAAAGCAUCUAAGCACGAAACUUGCCCCGAGAUGAGUUCUCCCUGAGACUUUAGGUCUCCUGAAGGAACGUUGAAGACGACGACGUUGAUAGGCCGGGUGUGUAAGCGCAGCGAUGCGUUGAGCUAACCGGUACUAAUGAACCGUGAGGCUUAACCUUACAACGCCGAAG